UAUCAAUUGCAGUGUAAAUCAUUGCCACCAAGGCAACAAAAAUCCUCUAAUUAACUGACUGUUUUCCUCAGUCAAUCCAUCUAUUCAUCUACCCCUGUUCUCUAUCAAUUCAAAUAAGACAGGAGCUUGACUUGAAAAUAGAGGUAAAAAUGCCAAGAAGAAUCCGUAAAGUAAAGUCUCUGGUCGACUCUCCAGGAAGAAAUCGAGACUGAAAGAAACCCUUAAGAGCAGAUCUCACUCGUGCUUCAAUCCACCGAAUUGAGGAGAUUUGUUCUAGAG
rnacentral:misc_RNA from 1 species